GAAGGGCCGCGGUAUUUUGACCGUGCAAAGGUAGCAUAAUCAUUAGUUCUUUAAUUGUGAUCUGGUAUGAAUGGCUUGACGAGACGUAAGCUGUCUUAGAGGUAUUGUUUAUUGAAUUUAGUUUUUGAGUUAAAAUUCUUAAAUGUUUUUAUGGGACGAGAAGACCCUAUAGAGUUUGACAAUUUUCUUGUUUUUAUAUUUGUUUGUUUUAUAUUUGUUUAAUAGUAAAAUUGUUUUGUUGGGGUGAUGGGAGGAAUAUAUUUAACUCCUCUUUGUUUUUAUAUAUUUAUUUAUAUUUCUUUUGAUCCAUUUAUUUUGAUUAUAAGAUUAAAUUACCUUAGGGAUAACAGCGUUAUCCUCCUUGAGAGUUCUUAUUGGCAGGAGGGGUUGCGACCUCGAUGUUGGAUUAAGGUGAAUUUUCGGUGCAGGAGCUGAAAGUGAUUAGGUCUGUUCGACCUUUAAAAUCUUACAUGAUCUGAGUUCAGACCGGCGUGAGCCAGGUUGGUUUCUAUCUAUAGAGUUGUUUUAUACCUUAGUACGAGAGGACCGGGUAU
rnacentral:rRNA from 1 species